AUAGAGGAAUAACAUUGACAAUUCGUUUAGUUUUGAGUGUUCAAACACUCAAGCACAAUGAAAACUAAAUACAAAAUUAUAGAGAAACAAGAUUUACAAAGAAAAAACCGAGAAAAGUAGUAAGUUGUAAAAAACUUAUUCACAAGAGUUCAAGGAAAAAACGAAGCGUAAAAGCUACACACGA
rnacentral:misc_RNA from 1 species